AACAAUCAUCAUCAUCUUCUUCCGAUCAAACUAUGAUUUUUCCACUCACUACUAAAUAAAAGCUUCAUUUCACUUCUCCGAUAGACCAGAAGUUUCGCUUCACCUCUACCACGGCAUGAAACACACAGCUAGAGUUGAUAAAGUUUGGACCGAAGUCACAGGACCUGUGACUGGAAGCUUAUGGCCGGCAAAGGUCCUUACUGGAAAUGUAUGAAAACGGUCCAAAAUGUGCAGUACGGGGAGGAAUUAAAGACGGAGGAGGAAUACCAUGUUCCUGAUGGCAGAUUUCGCCCAAAUAAUAGGAUAAUUCAAAAUGUUUGGGUGACAAGAAAAGGAAACUGUUGCAUUUAGUGGAUAAUGGAUUUUCAGUCGAUGAAGUUUCAGCAGCCAUUGACUCAUAGGGUGUGCAUCCAUCUCUAUGCAGCAGAAAUCUAUUUGUGCUUUCUUUAUUGGUGAGCAUGGGUAGAGCUGAAAUGAAAGUCUCGAUGGUGAUGGUCAUUAGGUAGUUCCAUUCAGAUUGCGCAUAAUUCAAAUUUAAUGCAGUCCAGGGAGGUUCACUGUAGGCUGUUUGUAUUUAGGGUUGAUUGCAAGGACUGGAUUUCGAUGAAACAUUUAGUUGCUGUUGGAAUUGAGGUUCUGCCACAUCGGAACUCAGCUAAUAUUGAAGGGGCUCCUCGCUGUGGGCAACUUGGUGAAACUAGAAACGUAGGUGAGGAAUGUGAAGGUAGCUUUGAAAAGUCUUACUAACCCCAUGAUACACGUUGUUUUCAACUCCAUAAAGAUUUGAGAUUUCCUAAAACGCAAUUGGCAAAAGUGUACAUCAAAAAGAUGAUGAAGACCACAAUGGAGAACUCAGAAUAUCUGUGUGACAAGAAAAGGAAAAUGUUGCUUUUAGUGGAUAGGGCGCUUCCCAGUGUAUAUCAGACUAAUGUCUUAUGAGAGAUCGAGGGGAUGAAAGGGUGGUUUGCUAAAUUGUUAAAGAAAAUGUCUUGUUCUGAGAAAUGGAUUUGUUUAGUUCUCAGUUAAGCUGGUUCAUGCUGUCGAGGUAGUUUUCAGUCGGUGUUUUUCGGAGGAGAAACAGGUCUUGUGAGACUCAGUUCACAACAAGACUAAUGCCAUUGGAUUUCUUUCAACUGAAAUGUUACCCUGUAUGGGAAGCGGUGGACUACUGAUAAGCUUGAUUGUAUUUUGAAUUUCUUUCCAGAUUCAUCUUAUUAGUAAGUCUGCCGUAUGACAACUUUAAAUCUUAUCAGGAGUUGCCAUGUCUCUCUGCUGUGCAGAAAGUAAGUGCAAUUUAGUCAGUUUUUCAUAUUAGAAGAUAUAUCGGUAGUGUGUUCCAUUGGCAGCCUAUUGAUAUAAAGUAGCGACGGCUGCUACUUCGAAAUGUCAUUGAUCUGUAACUGAAAUGAGCCUUGAGCAGUGAUCACCGGUUUAUCCA